rnacentral:rRNA from 1 species
UACAGAGGCCCCAAGCAUUAUCCGGAAUCAUUGGGCGUAAAGGGUGUCAAGGCGGUUAUGUUAGUCUUUCGUUAAAUCCAGGAGCUCAACUUCUGGCCCGCGAGAGAAACGGCAUAACUUGAGGUUGGGAGAGGUGCGUGGAACUCAUGGUGUAGGGGUGAAAUCCGUUGAUAUCAUGGGGAACACCAAAGGCGAAGGCAGCGCACUGGCCCAAAUCUGACGCUCACACACGAAAGCCAGGGUAGCGAAUGGG